rnacentral:misc_RNA from 1 species
GAACGCACCUUGCGCCCUUUGGCUAUUCCGAAGGGCAUGCCUGUUUGAGUAUCAUGAACACCUCAACUCUCAUGGUUUGCCAUGAUGAGCUUGGACUUUGGGGGUCUUGCUGGUCUAUAGUCAGCUCCUCUAAAAUGAAUCAGCUUGCCAGUGUUUGGUGGCGUCGCAGGUGUGAUAACUAUCUACGCUUGUGGACUUCCGCCAGGCAACCUCCAGCGAUGGGGGUUCGCUGGAGCUCACAAACGUCUCUCCUGAGCGAGGACAGCUUUUUGAACGUUUGAUCUCAAAUCAGGUAGGACUACCCGCUGAACUUAAG